GAGAGGAGGGCGUUAGCUGGAGGGCUGCCCUCACUACUAACAUUGUAUUGUUGCUUUAUUUGUACCGUGAACCAUAGUAUUCUCCAAUGAUAUCAGAGGUCCAUCGUUACAACCGAGAUCAACUUUGUAAUUUCAUAAUGCAGCACCAUAAACUCACAUUGAAGCAUAUGGAAGAGCAACACCGAAAGGCUAAGGUUCUAUUUCAUAAGAUGCAUACAUUAGACCCUGACCAUCACCUAUUUCAUAUCAAAUAAUUUUGAAAUCUCUUGUUGAGGUGUGCUUGUAAUUGAUUUCUCAUUAUAUGUAGUCUAAUUUUUGAGGUACUAACGUAUAUGAGAAAUUACUCUCGUAUUUAAUGGUUACUCUUCAGUCGAAUUAAAUAGCAGUAAUUCAGUUUAUUACUUUCAUUCAGCAUAAUACACCAUGGUUUGGGUGAUAAAAAGUUACAUCAUUGACCAUGCAUAUUCAACCUACAUAAGUAAUUGCUCGGAAAAUGAAUAUCCUUUAGAAGAAGUAUUUGCUAUUUGAGCAAGAUUUUCUACCUCUGCCAUUAUUGAAAGUUGGAAGAGAACAAAGGGAUCUAUGUGAAGAUAGUGAUCAGUAUUGUGUUCUUGCGGUUAUGGAAAACUAAGCGAUUCGUUGUUAAAGUGAACUAUUAAUUCUCUUCUGCUUUGUGUAGCCAAUAAUUAAAGUUGGCCAUAUUUAUUAUUGCUUUCUCCUUUUGGUUCUUGGGGUUCAUCUUGAAAGUCUUAGUUUCUCUUCUUGUGCGGUGAUGAUCUGGUUCAAUGGUAAUUUUUCAUUUCCGGAUUAAUGGUCUGUCGUGCCACUGUAGCAGUUCAGUGUAAUUUGUUGUGUAAAUGUAAAUGUUUUGAGAUGCAUAUCAGUGUUAAUUUUAAAUACUUGUUCAAGAGCUUGUCGCAUUAUUGUAAAUAUGUUCUGCAUCCACCGUACUUGUAUUGGAUACUAACAUUUACAGAGUGAUAUGAGAGAUGACAAACUUAUCAUAAAUGGUCUGUCGGAGCAAAGCUUGUAAGCUUAGCUUGUGAUCCACACAAUAAGCACUUCUCUGGUAAGUGAUCUCGUUGUUUUUUGACAUUCUAGAUUCCGCUUGUCUGCCAUGUAUAGAACAUAUUGGAAAUUACUCAUUGAUGGCAGCAACCUUUUGCUAAACAUGUAUUGAAGUUUCCAAUCAGAGACAGUAUGAUUGAAACCCAAAUGAAGAUUUUGUACUAUCUUUUGAAUAAAAACAACAUAUCUUGUGUAGAACGUGGAUCCAUGACUAUGGAUGGACUCGGGCAUAUCUCAACUGCAAAACUACACUAGGUCCUCCCUACUGUUAUAAUCUAAGGCUAUAGUAAAUAGUAAAUGCAGUUGCACAGUUCUGAUUCACUUUCUGGUGCACGUGUUGCUUAGUCAAUUCCUACCACAUCUUUCUUGGAACAAAGGCUUUGAUGUUCUUGUUACAUGACAGCUAUGUCUUGCAGGUUAGUCUUGACAAUUGGAUGGCUCAACCAUUUGAUAUAUGGACAACUUCAUGAAAUUCAAAUCCUGGACAACCACGUUUACUCUGCAUGCACACACUACGGUUGCUUCUUCCAUAUCCAUCAGCCCGUGUAAGCUUAAUUUCAUAGCAACCGGUGUAAUGGAUACAAUGAUGCGAAUUUUGCAUUGAAGAGGCUACUAACACUUCCGGUAUUAACCGAACCAGUUGCUAACAUGUCUCUAAAUGCAGGUGGAACUCUGGGAUAUAUCAAACAAGCAGCCUUAAGUGAUUUCCUAAACUCGGAGCUGUACAUACAGUUCCGUUUUCGAAUGUCGGCCCCUUUUUUACUAGCAUGUGGAGGAUCAAAAAGCAAACUAAAGGUCUGGAAUACACUGUAGGAACCAGUGGUAGCUAAUAAAUUUGGCAAGUAGACAUACUGGAAAAUGGAUCAGCUUUUUGAAGACUCAAAAAACUUGGUAUCCAUUGAAGUUACGUGUUGUGGUUGUUUCUCGCUGUGUGUGAGAAGAGAUGGAUUUUCAUGCUAAUAAAGUGAAUGUCCCAGUUUUAUUAUGGAGCAAAAUGGAAGCAUGGGCUGACCUUGAUAAAAUAAGAUUGUUUACCACUGCAGAAGGUGGUUUUAUAUUCCUAAUUCAUGUGCCAUUAGCAUUGUUAUGCUUCUUAAAUCUAUCACUAUUAAAGAUGUGGCUUCCCUCUCCUGGUUUACUUUCUUUUAGUUAUGGCUCGCUUACUUGCGUCGUUUCUCCACGAGCUGUCGCUGCUGUCGUGACGUUGAAGUUAUCCGCAUGUAAUUUUGUCUGGCCUUGCAUGUUUGCUCGAACAAUAGUUUGCUCUUUAGUCAGCAGUUUCUUCUUGUAGUUUAUUUUUUGUCUUGUUAGAAUAUUUCGCCUUUUGCCAUCUAAACAUGACUAGCUAUUGUAUUGAUAUGUAAUUUGUUUCUGACCAACUUAUUGGAUUUUCCCCAGUUUGAGUUUGUCAGCUCCUUCAAAGCAAAUCGCUUGUAAGAGUUCCUUAUGUAACCUGGUUUAGUUCCUAUUCACAUGAUGCUAUUUGUAAUAUUUUGGUCUUCUACAUUACUGCUGCCUUUUUGUUGCUGCUGAUGACCUUGAUAAAAUAAGAUUGUUUACCACUGCAGAAGGUGGUUUUAUAUUCCUAAUUCGUGUGCCAUUAGCACUGCACUGUUCUUCUUCUUAAAUCUAUCACUAUUAAAGAUGUGGCUUCCCUCUCCUGGUUUAUUUUCUUUUAGUUAUGGCUCGCUUACGUGCGUCGUUUCCCCGCGAGCUGUCGCUGCUGUCGUGACGUUGAAGUUAUCCGCAUGUAAUUUUGACUGGCCUUGCAUGUUUGCUCGAACAAUAGUUUGCUGUUUGUCUGCAUGCACAUGUUCCGCGGUCUACCUGUUUAGUCAGCAGUUUCUUCUUGUAGUUUUUUUUCUGUCUUGUUAGAAUAUUUUGCCUUUUGCCAUCUAAACAUGACAUUGAUAUGUAAUUUGUUUCUGACCAACUUAUUGGAUUUUCCCCAGUUUGAGUUUGUCAGCUCCUUCAAAGCAAAUCGCUUGUAAGAGUUCCUUAUGUAACCUGGUUUAGUUCCUAUUCACAUGAUGCUACUUGUAAUACUUUGGUCUUCU